UAACAUUUUUAAUUUAUUUUAUAUACUGACCACAAUUUCCCUUCCCUCCUCACCUUCCAUUCCCUCUUCUCCCUCACCUUCCAUCUAUCCUCCACCCAAUCCACUCCUUCUCAGUCUCAUUCAGAAAGGGACAGGCCUCUGAUGAUCUUGAACAAAGCAUGACACAUCAAGUUGAGGCAGGACCAAACUCCUCCCCCCUGCAUCAAGACAGGAUGAGGAAGAUCUCCUGGAUACAAUUUGUACUUCCUAAUGAUGAACAAUGCUGACAUUUUCUGUGUUUAUUAGUCAUUGCUUCUUUGUGGCUUUGUGAUACGACUAUGAGAAUGUAAGCUUUAUAAAUUCCUUAAGAUGUUAUGAAUCUUCAGAGAGGUGGCAUCUUUCUCCAGCAGCAAUUGGGAGCAGCUUUGGAGACCCACUGUCAGACAUUAUGUGGAGAAAGAGUCUAAACUGGAGGUCUCCAUCUGGCCCUUCAGUUGGAGAUUUGGGAGCCCCAUGGAAGAAGGGGAGAGAAUGAAGGACACCGGGAGAACAUGGCCCACCAAAUCAACUAAACAGGGCUCACAUGGCUUCACAGAGACUGGAGUGCAAGCACAGGGGCUUCAUGGGUCUGCACCAGGUCCUCCUCUGUGUAUGUGUUAUUGUUGGUAGUUUGGUAUUUUUGUGAGACUCAUAACAAUGGGAGCUGGUGUGUCUCUGACUCUUUUGCAUACUUGAGGCCCUUUCCCUCCUGUUGAGUUGCUUUGUUCAGCCGCAAUAUGAGGGCUUUUUUAUGGUAUCUUGUUUUGUCUUGUUUGACUGGCUGUCAUUUCUUGGAAGCCUGCUCUUUUCUGAAGAGGAAACAGGGGAAGUAGAUCUUGGAGAGGUGGGAGGGAGUCAGGAGGAGUGGAGGAAGGGGAAACUGUGGUUGAGAUGCAUUGUAUGAGAGAAGACUCUAUUUUCAAUAAAAAAGGAGAAAAAUGUUUAUUUCUUGUUGAGUUAAAAUUUUUAAGAAAAGAUAUUAUGAAUCUAAGAAUAGGCUUUCCUCCACACCAAGGAACUGAUUUUUUGACAUGUGCAUAGCCACUUUAAUGUGAACAGAACAAAGACUUUAUUUGGAGAUAGGAGUUUUGCAGAUAUACUUAGUUAAGUUAGCACUACAGUAGGGCAGGCUCCUGACAGUAGGACUGAUGUCUUUAUAGAAAUGGAAGAGGGGUUCUUAGAAUAUUGGUCAAUCAAUUCAUGUCAGUCUUUCUGAUCAAUAUUAAGAGUUUGGUCAUGGUCUUAACUUUUGAAGGUAAAAAUUUGCAAUGAUAAAGUAAUAUUUUUGAAUACAUAAUUGAUUCUGUUAUAUUUAUUUAAAACAUGACCUAUUGGCACAGACUGUGGAAUAAAUUGAUUCCAACUUCACAAAAGUCCAAUUUGUCACUAAUUGAAAAAAACAUUGACCAAAAGAUAAUACAACUUUAUGCUAUCCUAAAAACAGUGAUAAACCUCAGCUAUAAUAACUAAACUACAGCACUAGUUCUAAUAGCAUUUUUGUAUCUAUGUAUUAUGGAAAACCAUGAGAAUAACAGAGCAUUUUAAUAGGCUGUGCUUAAGACUAGUAAUUUUUGAAAUUGUGAAGCACUAGUUGACAAUGAUUACUGCCUUGGGAAAGAGUCAGUAGAAGCGUUUCAAGUCAAUGCCAUGACACAGAACAAAGAAGACCCAUUUAUCAACUCCUCAGAAAAACACAGGUGUACCCCAGAUUUCCACAGGAAUCUCCAUACAGGUAGAGUCUUUACACUGGCUCUGAGGACAGUUCUUUCAGAUUCAAACAUCAGAAAUAUUUUAGAUCUUAGCCUAUGUACUUUACUCCCCUUCCCUCAGUGAGGAAAAACUAAUAAAAUCAGUAAUAUAAAAUAAAUCUUGUCAGAAACAUUAAAAAAUCUAUCUUUAAUCUUCCAUUUAUAAGAUAAUAUGGAUUAUUUUCUUUGAUUUAUUUAUUUGAGACAAAUAUAUUGAAGAACAAGAGCUGCCAGGAACUGUUCUCAAUCCUGAGCACAGCAGUGAAGAGGCAAAUUCCUUCUUCCUCUACUAGUAGGAGAUGUAGGUUAACCAUCCCAUGCAUUAAAACAGUCACCAUUCUAAAAUGUAAAUUUCAAUGUUUUGUUUAUUUGUGGAGUUGUCUAUCAUUAUACAAUUAUAGAACAUUUUUAUCAUCUCUAAAAGAAAACCUCAAUCUUCCUCCCCAGCAUCAGCUCUUCUUUUUCAGAAAAUUGCUCAUCCAUGCUCUGUUUGCACAUCUAUGUCUGCUUUGAAGUUUUCAUAUACAUGUAACUGUAAAGUAUAUAACCUGUUACACUUGGUAUAAUUUCUGAAUCGCCAUCAAUGUUGUAGCACACACUAGUAAUUUUUCCUUUUGGUGGCUGAAUAAUAUCAUAUUGUCUACAUCUUUGUCAGACAUUAAACUGUUUUUUUUUUCAGUAGGUGAUUAGAUAAGAAACUGAGUAUUUAUUCCUGUCCUGUGACAGUGGAAUUCAAAUGUAAGGUUAUGUGAACAUGUGGCAAGUAUUUGUGGAAUCCAGAAAAAGGCUUUGGAUCCCCUGAAGCUGUCCUUCAGGCUGUUGUGAACCUUGUUAUGUGGGUGGUAGGAAAUGAACUCUACUCCUCUGAACAAGCAAAUACUCUUAAUUAUGGUGCCAUCUAUCCCAAUCACAAAUGUAAAGAAAUGAAAAUGAGCUAUUGUAUGGGAACUUUUCAUUGAUGCUGCUUGUCAAAAUUUUCUUUGCAUGGCCACUGCUGACCUUUGUCAGAACUUUUGACUAAAUCUGUAAUAUAUUCUAAGUUACUCUUUAUAGUAGAGAUUUUUAUGUCUAGGAUCCAUCCCAGCAAAAUAAAGUUUAUAGUUGACCUCUA